CUUCAACGACCCCAGAUACAACGGCUCACCACCACGCUCCUGGCCAUACGUCGCGAGCAACGCCUGCGCCUC
rnacentral:antisense_RNA from 1 species